rnacentral:rRNA from 1 species
GAUGAACGCUAGCGGCAGGCUUAACACAUGCAAGUCGAGGGGUAACAGGGGAUAGUUUACUAUUUUGCUGACGACCGGCGCACGGGUGAGUAACGCGUAUACAAUUUACCUUUUACAGGAGGAUAGCCCAGAGAAAUUUGGAUUAAUACUCCAUGGUAUUAUCGGAUCGCAUGGUUUGAUAAUUAAAGUUUCGGCGGUAAAAGAUGAGUAUGCGUCCUAUUAGCUAGUUGGUAAGGUAACGGCUUACCAAGGCGACGAUAGGUAGGGGUCCUGAGAGGGAGAUCCCCCACACUGGUACUGAGACACGGACCAGACUCCUACGGGGAGGCAGCAGUGAGGAAUAUUGGUCAAUGGAGGCAACUCUGAACCAGCCAUGCCGCGUGCAGGAAGACGGCCCUAUGGGUUGUAAACUGCUUUUAUACAGGAAGAAACUUAUCCACGUGUGGAUAACUGACGGUACUGUACGAAUAAGGACCGGU